AUGGGGGCUAAAACCAUGAAUAUGAUCCUUGCUAUAGCAGUUGCAGUGUUCAUGCUACAAGGAACAGACGCUGCAGAAUACACAGUAGGAGACAACCUUGGUUGGACCAUUCCACCGGGUGGCGCCGCCACGUAUGCUGCAUGGGCUGCCGCGCAUAGCUUGGUAGUAAACGACAUUCUAGGUGAGCUAUACUUUUCCUUUUAUUACUUGUUCUUUUUGUUUUUAGGAGUGUUGUUGGCAUGGCAUGGCAUGGCAUGCAUAUCGCUAAUUAAUCUAUAUGGUUUUGUUUGUGCACUGUACAGCCUUUAACUUUGCAGUAGGAGAACAAGACUUGGCUUUGGUGACCAAGGAGGAUUUUGAUGCGUGCAACACCGCGGAACCCUUAGUUGUGUUCAAAGAACCAGGAGAAUUUCAAUUUCUAAAAGAGGGCACGUUCUAUUUGACCUGCACCUUCGCCGGCCAUUGCACCAAAGGCCAAAAGAUUGCCCUUUACUUCGCUCCCACUGCAUCUCCAAGUCCAGCUCCAAGUCCAAGUCAAAGUCAGAGCGCUGAUGAUGCUGAUGAACAAUAUGCUGCCGCAGUCAAAUUUGUUGCCAAGAAAGAAUAUGGCUUCAAGAAAAUAAUACCUGCAACGAUCAAAUCUCUCUAG
rnacentral:lncRNA from 1 species